UACGGAGGGGGCUAGCGUUGUUCGGAAUGACUGGGCGUAAAGCGCGCGUAGGCGGGCGGUCAAGUUGGGGGUGAAAGCCCGGGGCUCAACCCUGGAACGGCCUCCAAUACUGACGGCCUAGAGUUCGAGAGAGGUGGGUGGAAUUCCGAGUGUAGAGGUGAAAUUCGUAGAUAUUCGGAGGAACACCAGUGGCGAAGGCGGCCCACUGGCUCGACACUGACGCUGAGGUGCGAAAGCGUGGGGAGCAAACAGG
rnacentral:rRNA from 1 species